rnacentral:rRNA from 1 species
GCAAGUCGUACGAGAGUUUUUAACUCAAGUGGCGGACGGGUGAGUAACACGUAAGAAUUUGCCUUUAGGAGGGGGAUAACAACUGGAAACGGUUGCUAAUACCCCAUAUGCUUUUGUUUCAAGGAAAUAAAAGUGAAAUGGAUUUCCGCCUAAAGAGAAGCUUGCGGCUGAUUAGCUUGUUGGUGAGGUAAUGGCUCACCAAGGCGACGAUCAGUAUCUGGUUUGAGAGGACGAUCAGACACACUGGAACUGAGACACGGUCCAGACUCCUACGGGAGGCAGCAGUGGGGAAUUUUCCGCAAUGGGCGAAAGCCUGACGGAGAAAUACCGCGUGAGGGAUGACGGCCUAUGGGUUGUAAACCUCUUUUUUCAGGGAGGAAUCAAUGACGUGUACCUGAAGAA